GAUGAACGCUGGCGGCGUGCUUAACACAUGCAAGUCGAACGGAAAGGCCCAAGCUUGCUUGGGUACUCGAGUGGCGAACGGGUGAGUAACACGUGGGUGAUCUGCCCUGCACUUCGGGAUAAGCCUGGGAAACUGGGUCUAAUACCGGAUAGGACGAUGGUUUGGAUGCCAUUGUGGAAAGUUUUUUCGGUGUGGGAUGAGCUCGCGGCCUAUCAGCUUGUUGGUGGGGUAAUGGCCUACCAAGGCGUCGACGGGUAGCCGGCCUGAGAGGGUGUACGGCCACAUUGGGACUGAGAUACGGCCCAGACUCCUACGGGAGGCAGCAGUGGGGAAUAUUGCACAAUGGGCGCAAGCCUGAUGCAGCGACGCCGCGUGGGGGAUGACGGCCUUCGGGUUGUAAACUCCUUUCGCUAGGGACGAAGCGUUUUUGUGACAGUACCUGGAGAAGAAGCACCGGCUAACUACGUG
rnacentral:rRNA from 1 species